rnacentral:lncRNA from 1 species
AGCAAAAGAGAAAAGUUUUUUUAAAAUGUAAUCUAAUUAAUCUAAGUGCAUUUGUAUGCCUAUUAAAAUUCACCUGUCCUGGAGUUUCCAUUUAUCAUGAUUAUGAGGGAACAACCAUCCUAAGAAAGAACCUUCAUGUCUUCAAAAGGCACCGAGAGAGUUAAAAAGAAGAAAAAAAAUGGAGGGGACUGGACUUGUUUGAUCUAUGGAAUUGAAGUAAAAAAAAGAGAAAGGAGGGUAAAUGCAAUGCUGUCAUGUAAAAUGGAAAAAGAAGGAAGAAGAACCUGAAAUCACUAGAACAUGGAUAUGGAAAAUAAAAUGGGAAGUUUUUUGGUAUAACUCCAUAUGUAUAUUUUGUAUUUCUUGCCUUCUCAAUGAAUAUGUGAGUGGAAUGGGGGGGGGGGAAUCUGGAACUGAAAAUAAAAUAAAAUGAAUUAAUAUAUAUUAUAUAUGUGCUGAUAUACAUGUGUAUAUUUAUAUGUAUAUAUAUAUUUAUAUACUCUACAGAAGCACUUAAAAGGACCCCAGUUCCUGUACAAGCAUUCAUACUUAUCUUUCACCACACAGAAAGAAUACGUGAGUCCUAUAUUUUUCCCCUAGAGACCUACAGACUCAUCAUGUGAACCUAUGCUUUGAACUUCCCCAAAGAGUAGCACAUUUGAGGUUGCUAGAGGGGUAACCUCCAGGUUUUGGUGAGUCCCCCUCUCACCUACAGACCUACUCAUUCCUCUAGACUUAUAGCACUUGGAGCAAUCUUCUUGGCAUCACAAUUGCAGUAUGAAUAACAGACCAAAGUAGAGGAGGUUCAGAGGUUUGUACACCUUGACUCCUCUCUUUUUUGCUCAACUUCUUGCUACCCUUUCAAUUCCAUGACCACAUACUUGCCCUCUUAGCUCUUGGAAGGUGAAUCCAUUAAUUGGUACUACUUAAGA